rnacentral:rRNA from 1 species
AGAGUUUGAUCAUGGCUCAGAGUGAACGCUGGCGGCGUGCUUAACACAUGCAAGUCGAACGAUGAAGAAGAGCUUGCUCUUUGGAUUAGUGGCGCACGGGUGAGUAAUAUAUAGUUAAUGUACCUUCAAGACCGGGAUAGCCAUUGGAAACGAUGAUUAAUACUGGAUAUACCUUCUUUACGUAAGUAGAGUCGGGAAACGUUUUUUCGCUUGAAGAUCAGACUAUCCCAUCAGCUUGUUGGUGAGGUAAGAGCUCACCAAGCCAAUGACGGGUAGCGGGUUUGAGAGGAUGAUCCGCCACACUGGUACUGAGACACGGACCAGACUCCUACGGGAGGCAGCAGUGAGGAAUAUUGCACAAUGGGGAAACCUGAUGCAGCAACGCCGCGUGGAGGAUGACGCAUUUCGGUGUGUAACCUCCUUUAUAUGUCAAGAAAAUGACGGUAGCUAUGAAUAAGCACCGGCUAACUCCGUGCCAGCAGCCGCGGUAAUACGGUCGG